rnacentral:rRNA from 1 species
GAUGAACGCUGGCGGCGUGCCUAAUACAUGCAAGUCGAGCGAACAGAUGAGGAGCUUGCUCCUCUGACGUUAGCGGCGGACGGGUGAGUAACACGUGGAUAACCUACCUAUAAGACUGGGAUAACUUCGGGAAACCGGAGCUAAUACCGGAUAAUAUAUUGAACCGCAUGGUUCAAUAGUGAAAGACGGUUUUGCUGUCACUUAUAGAUGGAUCCGCGCCGCAUUAGAUAGUUGGUAAGGUAACGGCUUACCAAGGCAACGAUGCGUAGCCGACCUGAGAGGGUGAUCGGCGACACUGGAACGGGAACGGGGUCCAGACUCCUACGGGAGGCAGCAGUAGGGAAUCGUACGCAAUGGGCGAAAGCCUGACGGAGCAACGCCGCGUGAGUGAUGAAGGUCUUCGGAUCGUAAAACUCUGUUAUUAGGGAAGAACAAAUGUGUAAGUAACUAUGCCCGUCUUGACGGUACCUAAUCAGAAAGCCACGGCUAACUACGUG